UGCACGUAAUCCAAAUCCACAUUGUUGGCGAUCUUUGUUUUGCAAUCGUCGGCCGGGAGACAGUUUCUGUCAAUAUAUCGUCUCUCGAUUGACCACUAAUAAUGAUGUGACAUUCGGAAUUACGUAGUUUGUACGUGAUUGAAUUUGUUUUGAAAGGCAGAGUUAAACACACAGAAACUCGCGCGCAAAAUAAUUCACAAAUAAAAAUAACAAAUCGCAUCAUAUGUUUAUGUUAAAUUGAAAUCUCGCUAAUUUCCAGUCAUCCGCCUAAUUGUCAUAUUUUAAAAGAAUAUUCACCAAACCGUUCAAGGGUAGACUAUAAAAACUUCCUCCAUUCAAUGAUUAACAUCUGAACAAUCCCGAGAUGACUGGUUAUUGAAUUUAUAUUUUGGUCGUAUCGAAUAAAAAGCCACCAGUCAUCGACCAAUAAGCAGAUAACUGGAAUCAGCUGCUUUACACAAUGGCACUUCCAAUUCAUCACAAUUCAAUCUAUGACAAAUGAUAAAAUUUUCGAGAUGCGAGGCAUGAGUUGCACUCAAAAUCUAAUACACAUGCUGCAUGACACCAAUGGUGCUAAAUUUGGAGUCUUCCAUUUCGAAAACACUGACCGAACAGUCGAUCGAUUCCGUUUAAAAGGGGUCAUUGGUUUAUACGAACAUACUUCAUGCACGGGAAAUAUUAAAAAAAACGGUAGAAUUCAUGUAAAUCAAUUAGCAUGGAACAGAUAAAAUUUAAAUGUUCAAAAAAUAUUCAUGACAAAUAAAGCACCAGAAACAUCUUACACACAAAUUUAAAAGCAAUAAGCACUUGAAAUACAAUUCGAGUAUUGACAAUGAAACAAACGAGAAUGAGUAAACAGAAAAAUAGCAAUC